CCCCACCCGGCUGGCUGGCAGCACAGAAGUGGUACCUGCAGACCCAGGGAGAGCGGAGCCACUCACCUGACUCACCAGCGACAUGUCCGCAGCAGGUGGAAGUGCAGCCCCCCUUGACGGGAAAUUUGCGCAAAUGAUCAUCGACCGUGUGGACAAAUUGGAGGAGGAGAUUCGAGUGGACGAACACCGAAUCUGGAAGGCAGCCAUGAAGAUUCAGCUGCUCUUGGG